rnacentral:rRNA from 1 species
AACGCGAAGAACCUUACCCAAGUUUGAAGUGCAGUGGACGGCGUCCAGAAAUGGCGCUUCCCGCAAGGGCCACUGUAGAGGUGCUGCAUGCCUGUCGUCAGCUCGUGCUGUGAAGUGUUGGGUUAAGUCCCGCAACGAGCGCAACCCUUAUCGUUAGUUGCCAACGCGUAAUGGCGGGAACUCUAAUGAGACUGCCCGGGUUAACUGGGAGGAAGGUGAGGAUGACGUCAAGUCCGCAUAGCCCUUAUGUUUGGGGCUAUACAUGUGCCACAAUGGCCGAUACAGAAGGAUGCAAUACCGCGAGGUGGAGCCAAUCCGUAAAGUCGGUCCCAGUUCGGAUUAGAGUCUGCAACUCGACUCUAUGAAGCCGGAAUUGCUAGUAAUGACGUGUCAGCUACAGCGUCGUGAAUAAGUUCCCGGGCCUUGUACACACCGCGCAUA